CAAGUGCUCUAUCAGAGGACAAUGGGCUGAGGCGCGUUCACGAGUCGACCCCAUGUUUUUAUUUUCUUUCGUCUUUGAACCUAAACACAGAUUCCCGGUCGGAAUAUUAUCGCUUUUUUACAAGAAAAAUGGCAUAAAAAUUGAUUUUAAACAGCGGUUGACAUGCUUCGAAGUACGGUAAUGGAAUAUUUAGAAUUUUUUUGUCACGAAAUGCGUCACCCUUCUUUACCAUUCGGAUAGUGUCUUGAACGCACGAACAAAACAGAGGAUAUUUGAACAUAACUAUGGAUUAUUUUGAACCAAACCAACAUUUGUUAUUGAAGUAGAAGUCCUGGGAGUGCAUCGCAAAUGCAACAAUAAGUGGUUUAGAAGGAAUCAGUGGCUAACUGCUAGCAUUGCAUAGCAGUCACUAGCCUGCUAUUCAAUUUGGGAACCCAGGCCUCUUUCUAGACCUCCGACCUGAAGAUCACUGAUGUCAUCAUGAUUAGACAUUGUUUUUUUCAGAGUUCCCAGUUGUCUUGAAGGCACUAUAAAUCCAGAGAAUGCCAGACUUUGAUGACAAAGAUUGAGGACAAUUUGCCCACGAUGGACCACCACGCCACCUUCCUUUUCAAGUGAGCACUGCACAACAAGAUUUGGGGUCUGACAAAAGGAUCUAUCUUUCAGUUGCAUUCUACAGAAAUAAGACCAUUUCCGGAGACCUUCUCCCCUACCUCACCUCGCUCAUCAACUCAUCCUUGACCGCUGGCUACGUCCCUUCCGUCUUCAAGAGAGCGAGAGUUGCACCCCUUCUGAAAAAACCUACACUCGAUCCCGCCGAUGUCAACAACUACAGACCGACCUAUCUGCUGCCUUUGAUACUGUGAACCAUCAGAUCCUCCUCUCCACCCUCUCUGAGUUGGGCAUCUCCGGCGCAGCCCACGCUUGGAUUGCGUCCUACCUGACAGGUCGCUCCUACCAG
rnacentral:lncRNA from 1 species